CUUGGUCAUUUAGAGGAAGUAAAAGUCGUAACAAGGUUUCCGUAGGUGAACCUGCGGAAGGAUCAUUACUGAUUUGCUUAAUUGCACCACAUGUGUUUUUCUUUGAAACAAACUUGCUUUGGCGGUGGGCCCAGCCUGCCGCCAGAGGUCUAAACUUACAACCAAUUUUUUAUCAACUUGUCACACCAGAUUAUUACUAAUAGUCAAAACUUUCAACAACGGAUCUCUUGGUUCUCGCAUCGAUGAAGAACGCAGCGAAAUGCGAUACGUAAUAUGAAUUGCAGAUAUUCGUGAAUCAUCGAAUCUUUGAACGCACAUUGCGCCCUCUGGUAUUCCGGAGGGCAUGCCUGUUUGAGCGUCGUUUCUCCCCCAAACCGCUGGGUUUGGUGUUGAGCAAUACGACUUGGGUUUGCUUGAAAGACGGUAGUGGUAAGGCGGGAUCGCUUUGACAAUGGCUUAGGUCUAACCAAAAACAUUGCUUGCGGCGGUAACGUCCACCACGUAUAUCUUCAUCCUUUGACCUCAAAUCAGGUAGGACUACCCGUUGAACUUAAGCAUCUUAAUAAGCGGAGGA
rnacentral:rRNA from 1 species